UAGUCCCUGGUGCCAAAAAGGUUGGGGACUGCUGAAGAGCACCGGAAACCAGGAGGAGCAGUGAGGAGGAGGCACAGGGUUCUCCCCUGAGAGCCAGGCCAGCUCUUGGUGUUGCUUCGCUGCAGGUGCCAUUUGGCAUUGAGGAUUGUUUUUCUCUUCCUCCGGGAAAGUAAGAGGGAGAGGACACAGUCUGAGUGGU
rnacentral:snoRNA from 1 species